CACCGGCGGCUCGAGUGGUGGCAACUUUUAUUGGGUCUAAAGCGUCCGUAGCCGGCUUGGCAAGUCCCCUGGGAAAUCUGGCGGCUUAACCGUCAGGCGUCCAGAGGAUACUGCCAGGCUUGGGACCGGGAGAGGUGAGAGGUACCUCAGGGGUAGGGGUGAAAUCUUGUGAUCCCUGAGGGACCACCAGUGGCGAAGGCGUCUCACUAGAACGGGUCCGACGGUCAGGGACGAAAGCUGGGGGCACGAACCGG
rnacentral:rRNA from 1 species